GUUUUUUGAAAAAUUUUUUGAAGUAUAGUUAACUUAGAAUGUUGUAUUAGUUCCAAGUGUAAGUUUCAGUGAUUCAGUUUAUAUGUAUAUACUCUUUUAGAUUCGUUUCCAUUAUACUAUCUAUCUAUAGUAUAGAUACUGAGUAUAGUUCCCUGUGCUAUGCAGUAGGUCCUUAUUAUUUAUCCAUCUAUGUAUAAUGGUAUGUUUGAAUCUUUGCACUGAACGUAUAGAGAGAAAUCAAUUCAGCAAAUAAUGCAUGCAAUUUAAUAAUCUCUGGGGGCUCCGAUCAGGAUAGUGGAGUAGAAAGACAUGGAACUCCCCUCUUCCACAAAUGCAUAUAAAAUCCAUCUACACAUGGAACAGUCCUCACAGAGCACCUACUGAAUGCCUGAGAGGAAAAGAAAGAUAUCCCUCCACAUAACCAGGUAGGAUGAAAGGGAAAAAAAGUAAGUGUGAUGGGACCUGUACCCUGGGAAGGAGUUAGAAGAGAGGUUCCCACAGUGGGAAGCCCCCUCCUAGGGUUGGGGGGGUGAGAUCAGCUGGGACAGAAAGGGCACUUCAGAGGCUUCACAGAAGAACAGAGCAGCCUGCCUGUUGCAGCAGGACAGAGACCUGCAGAGACAAUUGUCACCCUGCAUGUCCCAGCCUGAGACACGUCCACAGGUACAGGUGGGGACUGGAACUCGGGGUUCAGAGGCCAGACGAGGGGAGAGGACUGGUGUUGGCUGUGAGAGACAGCCCGAAGGGGCUGGAUUGUGGAACGGCCACAACCAGGGGUGUGCAUGGAAGCCAAGUGCCUUUGUCAAGUAGUGCAUCAAGGGAGGGGCAGGGCCUGUCACAGCUUCUUUCUCCACACACCAGCUACCACCCUGGUGGGCUCAGGACUGCAUGCCAUAGCAGCCACCUUGGCAGGCUUCAUGCAUCUCAGCUGCCACUUCAAUGGGUUCUGGGAGUAGGUGCCAGCAGGUUGCCCACAUGCAGAGGCAGGGCUGAAACCUCUGCCCAUGGGUAUGUGAGCCAUGGAUUUACUUCCUCCACCGGCUUUAUAAAUUCAUUGCCUGCGGGAUAUCUGCAAGGACAACAGGCACUCCCACAGCUGAUGGGUCUGUCCUUAGCAGCUGCAGGCUCUUGCGUGUGUGAACAUGGGGGUUUGGCUCCAACCAGGGUCUGAGCUGCCUCCAUAGCAGGUCCAGGUAUGCAACUACUGUAAUCCUGGGACCUGACCUAGGUGGAUCUGCACUGGUGGCCUUGUGCAAACAAUGCCUAAAAGAUGCCAGGGCUGAAUGCCAGCAUUCCUGUGGUUGAGGCGGGUCUGAGGGCAGUGCCAACAGUGUACUUUGUGAGCCUGCACAGCAGGUGAAAGGUGACAUAACAGAGAACUCUUACAGGUAAGCAGCUCAAGUGGAGGGACACUCAGGGGCUCCUCUCCUGGUGGGAGUGCUCCAAUCCUGCCUACCUUGCACUGCAGAUCAGAAAUGCAGCUGGGAAACAAAUCUGGAGGUUCCUACUCCCACAACCAGGGAAGAGACACUGCCUCUCACAGGGCAGUGACAACCACAGAGAAAAAAGGAGGCCAUAUUCAAUAUCCAGGGCAGGCUGUGGUCACACUUCCUAUCAGGGGGACAACAGCCACCUCAGAGAAAAGAGGUGGCAGCAUCCAUACCAAGAACUGCCCUAGCAUGCAAAAUGUUCAACUCACACUAGCUAUAUAGGGACACUCCCACAUAUAAAUAGCCCUCCAAGACCAAAAUAUAUAAUUAUUUCUUUUAAACUAAUAGGGUAAGAGGUAUAAGUAAAGAAGAAGCAGAGAAACCACUCCCAAAUAAAAGACCUAGAGAAAUACCCUGAAAGAACAAUGAAACAAACACCAAGUUCAAAAAGGAGAAAAUGAAAAACUGAAGGAAUUAAGGGCUAUUGAUAGAAAUGCAGAGGAUCAUAAAAAGGAACUGGAAACUAUAAAAAGGAACAGAAAAAUUAGGAAACCUAUUAACCAAGACAAAAGUUGAGCUAAAGGUAAUGAAUGAAUAAUGCAGAAAAGUGGAAAAGUGAUCUGGAAAAUAAUAGAAAUCACUCAAUCAGAACAGCAGAUAGAAAGCCAAAUGAAAUAACAUAAAAGCAAUAUAAGAGAUCUAUGGGAUAAUAUAAAGUGUGCCAAUCUAUACAUAAUAGGGAUCUCAAAAGAAGAAGAAAGAGAAAAGGAGAUUGAAACUGAAACUGUGUUUGUAGAAAUUAUGGCUGAAAACUUUCUAAACCUAAAGCUCCAGGUACAAGAAGCACAGAAGACCCCAAACAAGUUAAACUCUAACAGACCUACACCACAACAUGUUAUUAAAAUGGCAAAAGUUAAAAGGAGAGAAUUCUAAAAGCAGCAAGAUAAAAACAAAGAGUUCAUUAUGAAGGAGCCUCCAUAAGGCUAUCUGCUGAUUUCUCUACAGAAACACUACAGACCAGAAUAGAGUUGCAAGAUAUAUUCAAAGUUUUAAAAGUGAAAAAUUUACAAUCCAGAAUAUUCUGCCCAGCAUGAUUAUUUAAAAUAGAAGGAGAAAUAAUUUCUCAAAUAAAAACUAAAAGAAUACAGUAAUACUAAACCUAUCCUAAAGGUAACUAUGAAAGGUCUUCUCUAUAUAAGGAAGAACUAAUCUAUAGAAAAGAGAAAAGUCGCAACUGGAUACUAAAUUGCUUCAAUAAGCCAGUUUACAGGUUUUUUUUUAAUCAAAAAAUUUCUGUGAGGAGUUCCCUUUGUGGCUCAGCAGUUAAUGAUCCAGUGAUCCAGACUAGUAUCCAUGAGGAUGCAGAUUCAAUCCGUGGCCUUGCUCAGUGGGUUAAGGAUCGGGUGUUGUUGUGAACUGUGGUGUAAGCUGCAGAUGUGGUUUGGAUCCUGUAUUGCUGUGGCACAGGCCAGCAGCUGUACCUCUGAUUAGACCCCUAGCCUGAGAACUUCCAUAUGCUGCAGGUGCAGCCCUAAAAUGCAAAACAAAACAAAAAAUUUGGUGAAAGCAAUUAUAACCACAAUGAAUAGCAAAAGGAUGAAAGUGACACCAAAAUCAUAAAUGUAGAUUUUUUUUCCCCCAGAAUGUGUCUCAGCCUAUAUGAUAACCAGUCUUAGAGCAGGUAGAUUUAGGAGGGGAUUAACAUACUUGAAAAACAGUGUAACCACAAGUCAAAAAUUUACAAUAGAAAGAACAUAAGAACAAUUAAAAUCAUCAAGCCACAAAAGGAAAAAGAAAGGGACAAAGAAGAACUAUAAACACAUAUCUACCAAUUACCUUAAAUGUCAAAUGUCAAUGGACUAAAUGCUCUAAUCAAAAGACACAGAGAGGCAGAUUGGAUUUUUAAAAAAACAAAACCAAGAUCCUACAGUAUGUUACCUACAAAAGACCCACUUUAAGGCACAGGACAUGCAUAGAUUGAAAUUGAGGAGAUGGAAAAACAUUUCAUGCAAAUGACAAGAAAGUACAAGACACAAUACUCAUAUCAGAAAAAAUGGACUUCAAUAGAAGGCUAUAAAGAAACAUAAAGAAGGACACUAUACAAUGAUUAAAUAAUCAAUACAAGAAAAGGAUAUUAUGCUCACCACAUAUAUGCACCCAAUAUAGAAGCUCCAAAAACAUAAAACAAAUGCAGACAUAAAGGGAAAAAUUGAUGGGAAUACAAUAAUAGUAGGAGACAUUAAUACCCCACUCACAUCAAUGGAAAGAUCUUCUAGACAGAAAAUCAAUGAGGUUACAGAGAUCUUAAAUGAUACAAUAGAAUCGUAAGACUUAAUUGAUAUCUUCAGGACACUACAUACAAAAGAAGCAGUAUACACAUUCAAGUUCACACUAUGAUUGACCACAUACUAGGGUACAAAACAAGCCUCAACAAAUUUAAGAGUAUUGAGGUUAUUUCAACCAUCUUUCCUAACCACAACAGCAUGAAACUAGGAAUAAACUGCAAAAAAGAAGUGAGAAAAAAAAUACAUAGGGACUAAGUAACAUGCUGCUAAAGAAAUCAACAGGUCAAUGAUAAAAAUCAAAGAAAAAAUUUAAAAAUACAAUGAAGCAAAUGACAUUGAAAACAACCAUACAAAAGCUGUGGGUUGCAGCAAAAGCAGUUCUUAGAGGGAAGUUCAGAGUGAUACAGGCUGCCUUCAAGAAACAAGAAAAACUCAAAUAACCUAACCUACCACCUAAAAUAAUUGGAAAAAGAACAACGAACAAAAUGUCAGCAGAAGGAAAAAAACCAAUAAAGAUCAGAGAGAUAAUAGAGAUUUUAAAAAACAACAGAAUAAAUCAAUAAAUCCAAAAUCUGGUUUGUUGAAAGGGUAAACAAAAUUGACAAACCUCAGGCCAGACUCACCAAGAAGAGAGAGAAGACUUGAAUAUACAAAAUAAGAAAUGAAAGAGGAGAAGAGUUCCCAUUGUGGUGCAGUGGAAAUGAAUCUGACUUGUAUCCAUGAGGAUGUGGGUUUGAUCUCUGAUCAUGUUCAGUGGGUUAGGGAUCCAGCAUUGCUGUGAGCUGUAGUAUAGGUCACAGAUAGGGCUCGGAUCCCACAUUGUUGUGGCUGUGGCAUAGGCCAGGAGCUGUAGCUCUG
rnacentral:lncRNA from 1 species